UACGUAGGGGGCAAGCGUUGUCCGGAUUUAUUGGGCGUAAAGAGCACGCAGGCGGUCUUGUAAGUUUCGAGUGACAGGUGGUGGCUUAACUGCCACAGGGCUGGGAAAACUGCAAGACUUGAGAACUUCAGAGGGAUGCGGAAUUCCAGGUGGAGCGGUGAAAUGCGUAGAGAUCUGGAAGAACACCAAAGGCGAAGGCAGCAUCCUGGGAAGAAUCUGACGCUGAGGUGCGAAAGCCAGGGGAGCGAAACGGGG
rnacentral:rRNA from 1 species